rnacentral:lncRNA from 10 species
AUGAUCCGACUGGAAUCCAGGAAAAUCACAGCUGAAAUACAAAACAUCAGCCCUUAUCUCCAGCACUGUACAUGGCAGAAACUGCUUUUAUUCUAGAUGUCUAGAUCCAGAUCAACUGCAUGGGGUCCUACAGGAGAAGACCAAGAGACAGAGACAGAGACCAGGGAAAAUGACCGAUACCAUUCCUUCUCAGGGAUGCUACACACCCAUGGGGCAGAGGAUAAGAGGUUCCUGAAGGCAUCACCCCUCUGGCCAUGGCUGGUGUGCAGACAAAGCUGGAGAUUUGGAGUAGCCUGUUGUCCCACUGACUCUUAGACUGCCCCAGCUAAGAAGAACCAACUCCUCCUAUUACAGAUGAAAUAAACAAAGCUACUCAAGCUCUCUGGCAUCGCCCUGACGGUCAUCAUGUGCUUCACAUUUCCCUCCUGCCCCCCCUGAUUUUCUGGAAAAGGGAGAAAGUGUGUGAAAAAAAAUGGACAAUAACUUCUGUUAACUUUGUAGAUGUCUGGUUCCUCCAUAUGAGGCUGUGCUUGAAUCAAUUUUGGAGAGAGGGUUUCUAAAGUCUCUCUAGAUUCUAUUAAUUUUGAUAGAGACAAUAAAAGGCAGCAGGACCAACUCUGUGUGGUGGGAGAUCUAGCAACCAUUAUAGUCACAAUAGCCACCACUUACUGAACACCCACCAUGUGACAAAGAACAAAUGUGCAUGAAUUAUGUCACAUUUUUCACAAGCACCCCUUGAGUUGGGAGUUCACUCAUGAGGCAACUGAGGUUCAGGGAGAUGAAGUAACUCACCCUGUAGGUAGGAGGGCUGAGAUCUGGACGUAGAUCUUUCCUCCAAAGCUUUGUCUUUUUUUUUCUACUAUAGCACACCAAAGAGAGUUCUAGAAAAAAUGAGAAUAAGAAAUUUACCUGUAAUCCUUGCUCAAGAAACUGAAGCUCUGAGGCCACAUUGUUCCAGCCUUUUGCAGCUCCUGCAUGUGGAUACCAGCACCAGCAGCUCCCCGACCAGGGGCCCCAGCUAAGCCCUCCCAGAGGAUGAUCUUGGCUUUGUACAUGGGGUGUCAAUAUCCUGUGAGUCCAACAGAGGGAAGACAUAAGAAUAUGGUCACCCAGGUUUCCUCUGGCCCCAUACUGGGAUCCAUUCCUGGGACAACUAGAAGUGCCAGGGAGUUAAAGCCCCAAGAGCGACCUUCAAGCCAAUAAGAGAUGGAGUUGGAAUGAAAACCUCAGCUUCCUCAUACCUCAGUGGGACAAUCCUGAGAUGUGUUCCUCAAGUCUCUCCAAGGACCUGAUGGGACUGAGUCCUGGUUGCUCAUGAGAGAAACCAGCAGGACUGGAUGUCAGUGAUUGCACCAUGCAGGAUUACAGAUUGUGCUGAGUUUAGAUUUUCUGCCUUCCUCCUCAGUUGUCAGGCUGCUAGCCAGCUCUUCUGCUCCCAUGACACCUGCAUCGAAUGCCUGCCCUUUCCUUACUACAAGACCCUUUCCAGUUCCCAGAUUAGAAUCUGCCACAGGCUAGGAAUCCCACAUCCCAGUAGUGAUUUGGCUCCAAGUGCAAAGGCACCUAGUGUCUGCCUUUUGUUCAGCAGCUUGGUGAUGGACAUAUCCAGGACUCAGAGACCCCUUUCCCUCAGCUCUCUGAGUUGGAAGCUGUCAGGUGCAGAAGGGCAACAUCUUACAUACACAGGGUUUGGGCAGGUCUGGGCAGUGCCUGGUUAAUGUUAAAUAAUGCAGAUAAAGGAAUUGUUGACAUCUGAAAGUCAAUAUGAAAAUUGUAUGCACUGCUGUGACUCAUGCAACUUCACUCCCAGCCCUGGUUCUCAUGAUUCCAGAAGUGGAAAAAAUAAGGCAACUCUUUUCCUCACAAUUCAAAAAAAUACCUAUUGAGCAACAUCAGCUUGGCCCACACAAGACAAUUUUUAUCCCUUCCGUUAGUUAACUUUGCUUUGGCCAAAGGCCAGAAAAACCUCAUUCUUUACAGGCAACCUCAGACCACCAUCCUGGAUCCACUUCAAAAACUAACUGCAGACCUGUGUCUUACUAGAGGUGAUUUGGUAGCAUUGAAGAUCAAAUCCCGAUUUAAAAAAUUAAAAAAAAAAUGAACAUAAAAUGCAUUUUUAACAAUGUUUGCAGUGUUUUUCUUGUCUGCAAAUUAAUUAUAUAGGUUAAUACAGGAAACUUCCCAUUGCACACACACAAAAGAGCUCUGUCUAACUGAACAACCAAU